UAGUUGGUGGGGUAAAGGCCUACCAAGGCGACGAUCUGUAGCGGGUCUGAGAGGAUGAUCCGCCACACUGGAACUGAGACACGGUCCAGACUCCUACGGGAGGCAGCAGUGGGGAAUUUUGGACAAUGGGGGCAACCCUGAUCCAGCCAUGCCGCGUGAGUGAAGAAGGCCUUCGGGUUGUAAAGCUCUUUCGUCCGGGAAGAAAUCGCACAGGCUAAUACUCUGUGUGGAUGACGGUACCGGAAUAAGAAGCACCGGCUAACUACGUGCCAGCAGCCGCGGUAAUACGUAGGGUGCGAGCGUUAAUCGGAAUUACUGGGCGUAAAGCGUGCGCAGGCGGUUUUGUAAGACAGGCGUGAAAUCCCCGGGCUCAACCUGGGAACUGCGCUUGUGACUGCAAGGCUAGAGUACGGCAGAGGGGGGUGGAAUUCCACGUGUAGCAGUGAAAUGCGUAGAGAUGUGGAGGAACACCGAUGGCGAAGGCAGCCCCCUGGGCCGAUACUGACGCUCAUGCACGAAAGCGUGGGUAGCAAACAGGAUUAGAUACCCUGGUAGUCCACGCCCUAAACGAUGUCAACUAGGUGUUGGGUGGGUAAAACCAUUUAGUACCGUAGCUAACGCGUGAAGUUGACCGCCUGGGGAGUACGGCCGCAAGGUUAAAACUCAAAGGAAUUGACGGGGACCCGCACAAGCGGUGGAUGAUGUGGAUUAAUUCGAUGCAACGCGAAAAACCUUGCCUACCCUUGACAUGUCCGGAAUCCCUGAGAGAUUGGGGAGUGCCCGAAAGGGAAUCGGAACACAGGUGCUGCAUGGCUGUCGUCAGCUCGUGCCGUGAGAUGUUGGGUUAAGUCCCGCAACGAGCGCAACCCUUGUCGUUAAUUGCCAUCAUUUAGUUGGGCACUUUAGCGAGACUGCCGG
rnacentral:rRNA from 1 species